rnacentral:ncRNA from 1 species
GUUAGUCCCGCAGGGAGAAGGUCAUCCACAGGUAAGACCGUCCAAGAGGGCGGCGCCUUUUCCCUUCUGCCGAAGGGCAGAGUUGCGGGACAGGAGGU